GGCACCAUGGCCGAGUGGUUAAGGCGACAGAUUAGAAUUUCUCACGAUCUGUUUCCCUCUGGGAGCGGGCGUUCGAAUCGCCCUGGUGUCG